AGAGGCUCAUGACGUAUCGUGCCUCCACGUGAGUUGCAUGCGAGCGUGACAAAUGCAGAAUCGAUCGGUUUUUUUUUCCUCCAAGAAUUAAAAAGUUUUAUUCAUCACACAAGAGUAUCCUGAUAUCAUGUACUAUAUCUAAUAGGGAAUAUGACAUUGCAAAGUAUGGAAAAUAUAAAAGAAGCGGUGGAAAUAGCGACAAGACACUGAUGGGGAUUAGGACUUUUGUAUAUUCAUACUUUUCUGCAUGUUCCAAGCAUGCUUCUGCGACCGCCUGGCGGACACGUCGUUUGGGAAAUGGUUGUUAUUAUCACGAAGGGCGCAGUGUCCACAGGGCACCACGCCGUCCUCCGAGCAAGGGUUCUCCACACAACGUGGGAGCACCUCGUUCUUGGGAAGUACGACGUACGUCCUGGAUAAACAUGGA